ACGCUCGACACCUACAGGAGGCAGCAGUGGGGAAUAUUGCACAAUGGGGGAAACCCUGAUGCAGCGACGCCGCGUGAGCGAAGAAGUAUUUCGGUAUGUAAAGCUCUAUCAGCAGGGAAGAAAAUGACGGUACCUGACUAAGAAGCCCCGGCUAACUACGUGCCAGCAGCAGCGGUAAUCUGAGCGGGCUGGCAAGGC
rnacentral:rRNA from 1 species